ACUCAGCUAGUAGAGUACAAAGCUCUUAACCUUGUGGACGUGGGUUCAAGCCCCAU
rnacentral:tRNA from 1 species